rnacentral:rRNA from 1 species
GGUUAAGCGACUAAGCGUACACGGUGGAUGCCCUGGCAGUCAGAGGCGAUGAAGGACGUGCUAAUCUGCGAAAAGCGUCGGUAAGGUGAUAUGAACCGUUAUAACCGGCGAUGUCCGAAUGGGGAAACCCAGUGCAAUUCGUUGCACUAUCGUUAACUGAAUACAUAGGUUAACGAGGCGAACCGGGGGAACUGAAACAUCUAAGUACCCCGAGGAAAAGAAAUCAACCGAGAUUCCCCCAGUAGCGGCGAGCGAACGGGGAGCAGCCCAGAGUCUGAAUCAGCUUGUGUGUUAGUGGAACGGUCUGGAAAGUCCGACGGUACAGGGUGAUAGUCCCGUACACCAAAAUGCACAGGUUGUGAACUCGAAGAGUAGGGCGGGACACGUGGUAUCCUGUCUGAAUAUGGGGGGACCAUCCUCCAAGGCUAAAUACUCCUGACUGACCGAUAGUGAACCAGUACCGUGAGGGAAAGGCGAAAAGAACCCCGGCGAGGGGAGUGAAAAAGAACCUGAAACCGUGUACGUACAAGCAGUGGGAGCACCUUCGGGUGUGACUGCGUACCUUUUGUAUAAUGGGUCAGCGACUUAUAUUCUGUAGCAAGGUUAACCGUAUAGGGGAGCCGCAGGGAAACCGAGUCUUAACUGGGCGUUAAGUUGCAGGGUAUAGACCCGAAACCCGGUGAUCUCAGCCAUGGGCAGGUUGAAGGUUGGGUAACACUAACUGGAGGACCGAACCGACUAAUGUUGAAAAAUUAGCGGAUGACUUGUGGCUGGGGGUGAAAGGCCAAUCAAACCGGGAGAUAGCUGGUUCUCCCCGAAAGCUAUUUAGGUAGCGCCUCGUGAACUCAUCUUCGGGGGUAGAGCACUGUUUCGGCUAGGGGUCAUCCCGACUUACCAACCCGAUGCAAACUACGAAUACCGAAGAAUGUUAUCACGGGAGACACACGGCGGGUGCUAACGUCCGUCGUGAAGAGGGAAACAACCCAGACCGCCAGCUAAGGUCCCAAAGUCAUGGUUAAGUGGGAAACGAUGUGGGAAGGCACAGACAGCCAGGAUGUUGGCUUAGAAGCAGCCAUCAUUUAAAGAAAGCGUAAUAGCUCACUGGUCGAGUCGGCCUGCGCGGAAGAUGUAACGGGGCUAAACCAUGCACCGAAGCUGCGGCAGCGACACUAUGUGUUGUUGGGUAGGGGAGCGUUCUGUAAGCCUGCGAAGGUGUGCUGUGAGGCAUGCUGGAGGUAUCAGAAGUGCGAAUGCUGACAUAAGUAACGAUAAAGCGGGUGAAAAGCCCGCUCGCCGGAAGACCAAGGGUUCCUGUCCAACGUUAAUCGGGGCAGGGUGAGUCGACCCCUAAGGCGAGGCCGAAAGGCGUAGUCGAUGGGAAACAGGUUAAUAUUCCUGUACUUGGUGUUACUGCGAAGGGGGGACGGAGAAGGCUAUGUUAGCCGGGCGACGGUUGUCCCGGUUUAAGCAUGUAGGCUGGUUGUCCAGGCAAAUCCGGAUAAUCAAGGCUGAGGUGUGAUGACGAGGCACUACGGUGCUGAAGUAACAAAUGCCCUGCUUCCAGGAAAAGCCUCUAAGCAUCAGGUAACAUUAAAUCGUACCCCAAACCGACACAGGUGGUCAGGUAGAGAAUACCAAGGCGCUUGAGAGAACUCGGGUGAAGGAACUAGGCAAAAUGGUGCCGUAACUUCGGGAGAAGGCACGCUGGUGUGUAGGUGAAGCCCCUGCGGGUGGAGCUGAGACCAGUCGAAGAUACCAGCUGGCUGCAACUGUUUAUUAAAAACACAGCACUGUGCAAACACGAAAGUGGACGUAUACGGUGUGACGCCUGCCCGGUGCCGGAAGGUUAAUUGAUGGGGUUAUCCGUAAGGAGAAGCUCUUGAUCGAAGCCCCGGUAAACGGCGGCCGUAACUAUAACGGUCCUAAGGUAGCGAAAUUCCUUGUCGGGUAAGUUCCGACCUGCACGAAUGGCGUAAUGAUGGCCGGGCUGUCUCCACCCGAGACUCAGUGAAAUUGAACUCGCUGUGAAGAUGCAGUGUACCCGCGGCAAGACGGAAAGACCCCGUGAACCUUUACUAUAGCUUGACACUGAACAUUGAGCCUUGAUGUGUAGGAUAGGUGGGAGGCUUUGAAGCGUGGACGCCAGUCUGCGUGGAGCCAACCUUGAAAUACCACCCUUUAAUGUUUGAUGUUCUAACGUUGGCCCCUGACCGGGGUUGCGGACAGUGUCUGGUGGGUAGUUUGACUGGGGCGGUCUCCUCCCAAAGCGUAACGGAGGAGCACGAAGGUUAGCUAAUCCUGGUCGGACAUCAGGAGGUUAGUGCAAUGGCAUAAGCUAGCUUGACUGCGAGCGUGACGGCGCGAGCAGGUGCGAAAGCAGGUCAUAGUGAUCCGGUGGUUCUGAAUGGAAGGGCCAUCGCUCAACGGAUAAAAGGUACUCCGGGGAUAACAGGCUGAUACCGCCCAAGAGUUCAUAUCGACGGCGGUGUUUGGCACCUCGAUGUCGGCUCAUCACAUCCUGGGGCUGAAGUAGGUCCCAAGGGUAUGGCUGUUCGCCAUUUAAAGUGGUACGCGAGCUGGGUUUAGAACGUCGUGAGACAGUUCGGUCCCUAUCUGCCGUGGGCGCUGGAGAAUUGAGGGGGGCUGCUCCUAGUACGAGAGGACCGGAGUGGACGCAUCACUGGUGUUCGGGUUGUCAUGCCAAUGGCACUGCCCGGUAGCUAAAUGCGGAAGAGAUAAGUGCUGAAAGCAUCUAAGCACGAAACUUGCCCCGAGAUGAGUUCUCCCUGAGACUUUAAGUCUCCUGAAGGAACGUUGAAGACGACGACGUUGAUAGGCCGGGUGUGUAAGCGCAGCGAUGCGUUGAGCUAACCGGUACUAAUGAACCGUGAGGCUUAACCUU